rnacentral:rRNA from 1 species
UGGGGAAUAUUGGACAAUGGGCGCAAGCCUGAUCCAGCCAUGCCGCGUGAGUGAUGAAGGCCCUAGGGUUGUAAAGCUCUUUCACCGGUGAAGAUAAUGACGGUAACCGGAGAAGAAGCCCCGGCUAACUUCGUGCCAGCAGCCGCGGUAAUACGAAGGGGGCUAGCGUUGUUCGGAUUUACUGGGCGUAAAGCGCACGUAGUCGGACUUUUAAGUCAGGGGUGAAAUCCCGGGGCUCAACCCCGGAACUGCCUUUGAUACUGGAAGUCGUGAGUAGGGUAGAGGUGAGUGGAAUUCCGAGUGUAGAGGGGAAAUUCGUAGAUAUUCGGAGGAACACCAAUGGCGAAGGCGGCUCACUGGACCAUUACUGACGCUGGGGUGCGAAAGCGUGGGGAGCAAACAGG